rnacentral:rRNA from 1 species
UACGUAGGGAGCAAGCGUUGUCCGGAAUCAUUGGGCGUAAAGCGCGCGUAGGCGGCCCGAUAAGUCCGCUGUGAAAGUCAACGGCUCAACUGUUGGAUGCCGGUGGAUACUGUCGGGCUAGAGUGCGGAAGAGGCGAGUGGAAUUCCUGGUGUAGCGGUGAAAUGCGCAGAUAUCAGGAGGAACACCAAUUGCGAAGGCAGCUCGCUGGGACGUCACUGACGC